rnacentral:rRNA from 1 species
AGAGUUUGAUCCUGGCUCAGAACGAACGCUGGCGGCAGGCCUAACACAUGCAAGUCGAGCGCACUUAUUUCCUUCGGGUUAUAGGCGAGCGGCGGACGGGUUAGUAACGCGUGGGAACGUACCCUUUACUACGGAAUAGCCUUUGGAAACGAAGAGUAAUACCGUAUACGCCCUUUGGGGGAAAGAUUUAUCGGUAAAGGAUCGGCCCGCGUUAGAUUAGAUAGUUGGUGGGGUAAUGGCCUACCAAGUCUACGAUCUAUAGCUGGUUUGAGAGGAUGAUCAGCAACACUGGGACUGAGACACGGCCCAGACUCCUACGGGAGGCAGCAGUGGGGAAUCUUAGACAAUGGGCGCAAGCCUGAUCUAGCCAUGCCGCGUGAGUGAAGAAGGCCUUAGGGUCGUAAAACUCUUUCGCCAGAGAUGAUAAUGACAGUAUCUGGUAAAGAAACCCCGCUAACU